UUCACAGUCCCAGAGCAUAAAGUCCUGUCUUUUCCACCGACAGCACAGGCCCUGGGAACAGUCUUCUCCUGACCACCUUGCCGGUGUGCCUCAAUGCUGUAUUAGAGGGACCACAUUAGGGCUGAGAGGAUAAUUCAUUCUCCAUGCCCAUUCAGCCUUUGGGUUCU
rnacentral:sRNA from 1 species